AAUGGCUCAGGCUUGGCUGCUUGCAUUCUGUGUUUUACUUUGCCUCAAGUCUGGAGGUAAGUCUCCGCAUUACUGAGAGCCAGUGUGGUGUAGUGGUUAAGAGCGGUAGACUUGUAAUCUGGUGAACCGGGUUCGCGUCUCCGCUCCUCCACAUGCAGCUGCUGGGUGACCUUGGGCCAGUCACACUUCUCUGAAGUCUCUCAGCCCCACUCACCUCACAGAGUGUUUGUUGUGGGGGAGGAAGGGAAAGGAGAAUGUUAGCCGCUUUGAGACUCCUUUGGGUAGUGAUAAAGUGGGAUAUCAAAUCCAAACUCUUCUUCUACUACCUCAGGAUGGUUAAAACAAAAAGCAGUCCCCUAGUUAUUGUAUGUUAUUCCUCCACCUCACUUCCUAAAAUGGAGAAAUCUCCAAAUGGGCUUUGCAGCAUUGGUGUCAGUACUCGGCAUGUUUGGGUAAAUGUUGCGCUUGUGUCAGAGCUCAGUUCUGCGGACAGCAGUGUGUCCUCUUUUUCUUUUUAAAUCUCUUGUCCACCAUCAAGGAGAGGAACACAACCCUCCACAGGACCAAGCCACAAAUAUGCCUACAAUUUCAAUAUCAAAAUCCAUACAAGUUUAGACCAAUUUUCAAAGGGGAAAAAAAUCCUUCCUCUUACUGUUAGCUUUCGGUGCCAAUAGGAUUUGGGGAGCUUAAGACAAUAAAUAUUGAUGCAUCCCUACUUAAAUUAGGACGGGUGUUGCUGAGGUCUCACUGGUACUAUGUGUUGCGGCACAGACAGCUGCCCAUUAGGAAGGAAAAUUUUUUAAAAGGCAGGAAGUGAAAGGAGACCCAGGACCUCUGCAAAACACCGAGAGCUUGGAGCCCCGGGUUUAACCUAGAAUCAGGGGUCCGCAAACUUUUUCAGCAGGGGGCCGGUCCACUGUCCCUCAGACCUCAUGGGGAGCCGGACUAUAUUUUGAAAAAAAUAAUAAUGAACGAACUCCUAUGCCCCACAAAUAACCCAGAGAUGCAUUUUAAAUAAAAGCACACAUUCUACUCAUGUAAAAACAAGCUGAUUCCUGACCGUCCACGGGCGGGAUUUAGAAGGCGAAUGGGCCUUAGUUUGCCUAUCCAUGAGUCCUAGAACAAAGCUCCUGAUUUGGUGAGUUGUAAAGUAAUGUUUUCAGGAACAAACAAUAAAAUCAAAACCUCCUCUCUUUUGCAGUAGAUGCUGUAAAGUGCAAAAAAUGCAGUUCAUUUGCUCCAGGCCCAAUAUGCAGUGAGGGUUUUGAGGAAUGUGAAGGAGAAUUCUGCAGCUUGAUGAAACUGUACAGUGGUAAGGAGACUUUCCUCUUUAAAUUCUUCGUUUGUGUGACUAGGGGGGCGCAGGGCACCUGUCUUCUCAGUGGUCAUAAGGAGCCCUGCUAGAUCCGACCAAAGGUCCAUCUAGUUCAGCAUUCUGUUUCCAAGUGGUCAAAAGAACCACACAUAGCCUUCAUAGCUAUGAAGGACUUGCUGACAAAUUUAUUGACAGCUGAACAAAUUAUGAUAGCUAGGAAGUGGAAGGGGCAAGCAGAAUACAAAAUGGAAGAAUGGUAUAAAGAGGUGUGGGAUAUAGCUAUGAAUGAUAAAUUAACAUGUGCCUUUAAGGUAAGAUGGGGAAUAUGCAGGAGAAAUGGUUUCGAGAAGAUAUGGAGCAUGUUUGUAGAAUUCGUACUGUUAAAACGAAAAGGGGUCAAACCAUCGCAAGAGGUGUUGAAAUUUUGGGAGGUUUGAUAGUUACAAUGGAAUGGUCUUGGUGGUGGGGUGCACAUUUUAAGUCUUAUUUAUUUAUGAUUAUUACUUUGUCAUAAUAAUAAUGAAGAAGAAGAAGAAGAACCACACAAUCAUGGAACUUUAGAAAUAGAAGGGAUCCCAAGUGUUAUCUAGUUUAGGGUUGCUACUUUUUAAAAAGUGAAAAUCAGGACAUCAAAGUAAGUUUUGGAACUUUUGUAAAAGAGAUUUGCCAAAAUAAACUGGAGUUUCCAUACGUCUGGAUUUUCCCAGACAUUUUAGAAAUUACUGAAAAUCCCCCCCCGAUGCAAUUUCCGAGGGCCAGAUCCCAGAUAUGUCUGGGUAAACCUGGACUUUUGGCAUCCCUAAUCCAGUUCAAUAGGGCAGUAGGUGGCACUGUGGUCUAAACCACUGUGCUGCUUGGACUUGCUGAUCAGAAGGUCAGUGGUUUGAAUCCCCACAACGGGGUGAGUCCCUUUGCUCAGUCCCAGCUUCUGCUACCUAGCAGUUCGAAAGCAUGCCAGUGCAAGUAGAUAAAUAGGUACCGCUCUGACGGGAAGGUAAACGGCGUUUCCGUACGCUGCUCUGGUUUCGGUGUUCCAUUGCACCAGAAACAGCUUAGUCAUGCUGGCCACAUGACCCGGAAAAACUGUCUGCGGACAAAUGCCAGCUCCCUCGGCCUGUAAAGCAAGAUGAGGGCUGCAACCCCAGAGUUGUCUGCUACUGGACUUAACUGUCAGGGGUCCUUUACCUUUACCUUUUUUAAUCUAGUUCAAGCUCUUUUUAUUGCUUAGUUUGAAUCUCCUUUCUUAUAAUUUGAACCCACUGAUAUGGGGUCUACCAUCUGGAGCAGCAGGAAAAAACACCAUGUGACAGUCCUUCAGAUAGUUGAAGAUGAUUAUCACAUCGCAUCUCAGUCUUUUCUCCUCCAGGCUAAACAUACCCAACUCCCUCAACUGUUCCUCAUAAGGCUGAGGUGCACUAUUCUGCAGCAUAGUAUCAGGAGCGCUGCCCUGGCUGCCAUAGUCCCUGCUUCCCAGGGAUACCAGAGCCUCCAUGCUUGCGUGGUUCCACUAGCUUUGGAAAUAAUGGGGUCCUUGCCAGAUUCUGUGCUUCUUGGAAGAAAUGAGAUCAGUAGCAAGAGGCCACAAAGGGUCCACAGGAGGCCCUGCUUCUGUGCCUUGAAAGCAGCUAGUGGACAGACAGAUAUUUUAAAAUAGUUACUUAAGCAGAUGACAUGUUAGACAGGGAUUGAAAAGGAAGCUUUUCAUUCCAAGGAACAAAUGGAUAUGUCAAUUGAACAUGGACCUCUUUUGCAGUAAGGGCUUCCAGACUUAGGAAAAUGAAUUUGGGAUCCAUUUUAGAUCAUUGUGGUAGAGAUUCUGAGAUUUAAGAUUAUAGAUUUAUUCUGGCAUGUAUCUCUCCCAUCCUUUAACUUCAUUUUAUUUUAAUGUUGAUUCCCCCCCCCCCCCACUUUUUUUAAAGCAAAUUAAAAAUCAAAAUUCUGUUCGAGGUAUUUUACUUGGAUGUGUAGUAAACCUUUGUGCUUUUUGGUAUGUUCUCCUUUCUCUUGUUAUGGUCUAUGGAUUAGGCUAAUAAAAUCACAUUCAUUCAAAUGCAAAUGCUUUCCUUUCUCUCUCCAGUCAAAACCGGUGAAUUACAAAUAGUCCACAAAUCCUGUCCCCCUGAAUCCUUCAGAAAGUACUGUGGAAAGGUUUGGACGCGCCACAAUCACGCUAGAAAGAAAGUACACUGCUGUUUUACUGACUUUUGCAUUGAGUGAUUUUAAUAUUGUAUUCUUAAAUUGGUUGUGGUUGUAAUAGUUAUGCUGUUAGGUGUAAAUCUCACAAAGACAUUGUAUUAAAAGAGUUCAUGCUCUUGCUCCAUCAUGGAAGCCAGGAAGCCCUGCUUUAAUUGGACAAACCUCAGAAAAGGAUAUAGAAUAUAUUAGCCUGAUUUUUAUUUUUAUUUUUUUAAAAAACCAUUAUCCAAGUCAAAAUUUCCAUCUAUGUUCUCAAGCUAAGACGCCUAAUUUUGCUAGCUUUCUGUCAUUGUUUCCAAGGUUCUCCCUUCCCCACUGUUAUCUAGUACAACGCUAAAACCUUUGAACAGUUCUGAUGUUAAGGCAAUUUGCCAAUUUGUCUUCUUCAGGAGUAAGCUGCAUUGAAUUCAGCGAAGCUUACUUCUGAGUACACAUGCUCGGGAUUUUGCAGUUGCGAGAUAUUGUAGACAGAUUCCUCAGUCUUUCUCAACCAUUUGAUUUAAAUAUGUGCCCAAGAAUAAGCUGUGCUGAAUUCAACUGAGUUUGAUGAUGAGUGGCUAGGCUGGGGAUUUUGCCGAUGCAAGGAUUUAAAGAAAGAUUUCUCACUCCAACCAAGCCAUGGUAUUAAACACCCAGAAAAGCAAAAGCAAAAACAAAACCCACCCCUGCCCACAAUAUGUCUGUACAGGGAUCUGAGCUGGCGUGACGAACACUGCAAGUGCUAAACAAACACAGAAAAGUAACAAGCCCCAUCCAUAGACUGUGAUUUUUUUCCAUUGGGCACAACAGGUAUCUCCCCUAACUUGGAAGCAUUCUAAUGAUUGGUCAGUCCUUAACUGUGUUGUUAGAACCUCCCAUCCCACACUCGCAGUCAAGGGGGUCAGGUAGGGGGCUGGACCCAGACUCUCCUGGGUUUUGUCCAUUGGAUUCUGAAUUGCCAUCUCCCCUGAGUCCACUGAACCCUGUCCCCCUGACGCCCGGUUUGGUUAGAGAGCUGGAAUAUAUUUUAUUUUCUCUUUCCUUAAUACUGCCAUGUAACUGUAAUGUAGCAAAGUUUAAACUAUUUUGACUGGUGGGAGGUGGCUAUUUGAAAUAUAAUAGAUAACUAGCAAAACAUUGCUAGUUUUGCAUGCAGUGCAACAAUACAAGCUUUCAAACACUUAUUUUAUCUGAAGCUUCAGUGUUUUGUUUUGAUGGAGUUAAAUUUAAUUUGUAAUCCAUAUUCCAUUUUGUUUCCUGCGUAAUCAUUGUGACUGGAAUUUCCCCUCGAGAAUGCUGUUCCUUAUCUUUUCCCUUCCUCAAGAUUCAUGAAUGUACAAUACGUUUUCAUUUCCUAUGAGAUUGUGAUGACUAUGUCUUUCAUAAACUGAAAAGCGUUCUGUUAAUGUAGGUGCAAUAGAUGUUUUAAAAAUGGAUUUCAGUCUCUGGUCAGUCUCACCCCCUGGUCAUAUCUGCUCGCUGCCCUCUCACCUUUGGGGUGCUUCCAUACAGUGUGCAUGGGGGCUGAUUUAAGUCUCUGAACGAAGCAGGCUGAGUGAAAAAAUAAAAAGGGAAAAACUCAUUGUGUGAGUAUUUUUAAAUUAAACAAAGUCCUGGACUUAGAGGGGUGGCUGGGGAUAAAUAAACUUCUACUAAUAAUGAAACACCCAGAAAAGCAGGGGCUGUGUGGUAUAUUUCCUACCAGUUCUCUUCAAUUAUUACUUUGAAAUCAGUGUAGGAGGCAGACUCUAUACGUGAACUGGAAGAUUCACAGUGGCUUAAGAUCUGGUCCACGUAUACCUUUAGGUCCAGGUCUGCUGACAGAGUCAUGGGAACAAAUAGAACAAAACUCAUUUCACCCCUCUCCGUAAGGCAGACCAGAAAUUGUGCACGGUGGCAAAGGAAACCCACUGCCCAUCAGUAUGAACUGUCGCACAGUGGUAAAUUAAUGAACACAGAGUCUUCUUCAUAAAGAGAAUAAAACUUUUACUUGAGAAAAUAAAGUUGUUCAUAAACAGCAUAGUUAAAGAGCAUCCACAGAGUGCUCAGCUAUCUGACUCCUCACAGAGGUAGUUACAGGUAGGUAGCCGGGUUGGUCUGCCAUAGUCGAAAGAAAAUAAAAAAAAAUCCUCCCAGUAGCACCUUAGAGACCAACUAAGUUUGUUAUUGGUAUGAGAUAUCUGAAGGUAUGUGAAGAAGUGUGCAUGCACAUGAAAGCUCAUACCAAUAACAAACUUAGUUGGUCUUUUGAAUUCUGGUGUUGGAGGAGACUCUUGAGAGUCCCAUGGACUGCAAGAAGAUCAAACCUCUCCAUUCUGAGGGAAAUCAGCCCUGAGUGCUCACUGGAAGGACAGAUCCUGAAGCUGAGGCUCCAAUACUUUGGCCACCUCAUGAGAAGAGAAGACUCCCUGGAAAAGACCCUGAUGUUGGGAAAGAUGGAGGGCACAAGGAGAAGGGGGCGACAGAGGACAAGAUGGUUGGACAGUGUUCUCGAAGCUACCAGCAUGAGUUUGACCAAACUGUGGGAGGCAGUGGAAGACAGGAGUGUCUGGUGUGCUCUGGUCCAUGGGGUCACGAAGAGUCGGACACGACUAAACAACAACAACGAUGCUACUGGAAGGAAUUUUUUUAUUUUGUUUCUUCACACAGGCACAGUCUUACUAGAGUCCUGGAGCCACUCUGUCAGCAGCAAUACAACACUGGCACACACACACACACAGACACUGGGGCCCACAGAGAGGCUGCCUACUUUUAUGGGGAGAGUGAGUCAUCACUCAAGAUGAGUCACGAGUCACAGUGACUUAGCAGUUUGCUGUUAACAGUUAGCAGGCUUGAAUGAUUGUGUAGGCCUUGUAGGCCUCACUGCUUCUGCUCUCAAGAACCUUUGUCUCGUGACAUGAACAAGGUGCAGAGGCUGCCUUCUGCCGUGUCAGACCGUCAGUCCAUGUAGCUUAGGAUUCUUUGUGCUGCAUGUGGGGAAACUGUGGUUCUCUGGAUGUUGCUGAGCUACAACUCCCAUCAUCCUUUGCUAUUGGCCACGUUUGCUGGGGUUGGUGUGAGUUUGGCAACCUUGAGAGGGGGAGGGGUUCCCAAAAUCUGGUGCGGACAGCCUUAAGCUACAUGGACUGAUGUGGUAUAAGGCAGCUUCCUAGGCAGGGCAGUAGCUCCUAAACUCCAUACUGGAAAGCACUAUCAUGCCACAAGAAUGUGUGUGCCGUGAGAAAUAAAUUUAAAGUCACCGGUGAGCCAAAAGCACCUAUUUACAGAGAAGGCUGUUUUUGUUUUAACAAUUUCUUUUGUGCUUUUAUCCUGUAUUUUUAUCUUGUGAACUGCCUUGAGAUUUUUGGAUGAAGGGUGG
rnacentral:lncRNA from 1 species